GACGAACGCUGGCGGCGUGCUUAACACAUGCAAGUCGAACGGAAAGGCCCUGCUUUUGUGGGGUGCUCGAGUGGCGAACGGGUGAGUAACACGUGAGUAACCUGCCCUUGACUUUGGGAUAACUUCUGGAAACUGGGGCUAAUACCGGAUAGGAGCUCCUGCUGCAUGGUGGGGGUUGGAAAGUUUCGGCGGUUGGGGAUGGACUCGCGGCUUAUGCGCUUGUUGGUGGGGUAGUGGCUUACCAAGGCUUUGACGGGUAGCCGGCCUGAGAGGGUGACCGGCCACAUUGGGACUGAGAUACGGCCCAGACGCCUACGGUACGCAGCAGUGGGGAAUAUUGCACAAUGGGCGGAAGCCUGAUGCAGCAACGCCGCGUGCGGGAUGACGGCCUUCGGGUUGUAAACCGCUUUCGCCUGUGACGAAGCGUGAGUGACGGUAAUGGGUAAAGAAGCACCGGCUAACUACGUG
rnacentral:rRNA from 1 species